rnacentral:rRNA from 1 species
AGUGAACGCUGGCGGCGUGCUUAACACAUGCAAGUCGAACGAGGACGGAAUAUAGCUUGCUAUAUUUGUCAGCUAAGUGGCGCACGGGUGAGUAAUGUAUAGAUAACCUGCCCUUAAGAAAGGAAUAACAGUUGGAAACGACUGCUAAUGCCCUAUAUGCCUUUAAUACAUAAGUAUGCAAGGGAAACGCUUUAGUGCUUAAGGAUGGGUCUGUAUGGUAUCAGCUUGUUGGUGAGGUAAUGGCUCACCAAGGCUAUGACGCCUAACUGGUUUGAGAGGAUGAUCAGUCACACUGGAACUGAGACACGGUCCAGACUCCUACGGGAGGCAGCAGUGGGGAAUAUUGCACAAUGGACGGAAGUCUGAUGCAGCAACGCCGCGUGGAGGAUGACACAUUUCGGUGCGUAAACUCCUUUUAUAUAGGAAGAUAAUGACGGUACUAUAUGAAUAAGCACCGGCUAACUCCGUGCCAGCCGCCGCGGUAA